UGCCGCACACAAGCGGCGACUCUCCUUGGUCAGAGGUGGCGUGGCGGCGUGGAGAGGCUGCGAAUCAAUCCUCUCUCUGUGGAACGGCGGUGGCGGACGACAGAUCCUCGGCGGUAGCGGGGAAUCAGGUAACGGCGCCCCUCUCCCCUUCUCAGUCCUCCCACUGGGACGGCGCCCAACGGCGGCUGGUCGAUGGACUGACCGCCUGGAACUUGGUGAACUCCCGUGGAACUCCGGAUUGACAUUGGCGCUGAUUCACCCUCGGGUGUGUCGUGCUCGGCGGUGACCAUGCAAUAUUGUGUAGCAGCGGCGGCGCAAGAGCGCGGGUGCCGGAGAGGGCGCCGUAUUUCUGGCGAAGGUAGGCAUGUAGCACUGGAUUCAGACAACAGCCAUAGCAGCCUUCAUACCUCACAUGUCUACAUCCAAACGGAGUGUAAUGUUGCAUGAUAGCGCUCACCCAAUGCAUCUCUGGAUGCUGGUUUGAGCAGACGUGGGGAACAUAUUGGUUUGAUUGUUACAGUUCCAGCUUAGGAGUGAAGAAAUCAAACUGCCGUCGCAUUCUAUUGUUAAACGUUUGAUGAGUAGAGCUUCUUAUGGUCCCAAGCUUGCAAAAAAAAAUUAGAACCUCCUUUGUGAUAUUGGUCUGGUGUGGUUCUGUAAUUUCACAAACUACUAACUGAUGCGUUUGUGUGCCAGCUUCCACUUGUGUUCUAAGCAGACCAGAUCAAUCAAGAGAUGAAGAGCAGAGGCACGUCGGUUCGCAGAGCACUUGUUCAUCCUGGACAGUAUCACAAAAAGAAGAGAGCAAUUCCACCCGGAGCUGCACAACAGCUUCUUGUGUGAACCCGGUCAUGAGAAGAAAUUUAUUUGACAACAAAAUAAAUAUGCUUGAUAUGUUGCUGGUUGACCAUACAAGCACUAACAUUUGGAGAUCGUCUUCAAUGUCAGAAUGUCGAGUCUGUUAUUCAUAUAAAGAGAGAAUAAAUGAAUAAGUGUUGCUGCUGUUUAUCUUGGAUCAUGCUUGCAGCAGACAAGCACUGCAUUUGUUUGGUCAUCUGGACAUGACGACAAUAUCAAGCUCUUUGUUUGGACAUCACACAUGAGGGCGGCGCCGCGCUCACCGCACCUUUGUAUGCAAGGGCCAGAAUAAUGGGAUUUUCUUAUGAUUGCAACUGCAACAGAGGCCUUGUUUUAGAAGGAAAAAAUGGUUCAGGGAUAUUGCAACAAGGCUCCUGUUGCUGAGGGCCGAGCGCAAUACUAGCCUUGUUGCCGGCUAGCUCAUAUGGGAGAGAUCAGACGGCUAUCAGGCGGUCGAUCUUUUAACACUAUCACCCCGCGACCGCAUA